GCUGUGAAACCAUCCUUGGCGAGAUUCGUGCGAAAAUUCGUGCAGUAUUAUCAACGGAAUGCAUGUGUCGUGCGACACGGUGAUUGAACUUUUUCACAGGCCUGCCUACAGAUAGAGCUCUUCGCAACUUCUCCCUCCCACCUUGCGAUUUAAAGUAUCGCGCGUGUGUUGCGUGUCAGCCAUUAUUAUGAAAUAAAAUAGGGGGAGUGUUUUGGCGCCUAGAGCUAAUGUUGACAGGCCUGAGUCGAGAGAGAGUUCGGUAAAAUAUUGUUUCUUUCGCGUCAGAUCGUUCAAAGCUGUUGAAAGCAGUAUUGUCAAAUCGUUUUGCGUGGCGGAGCAAUCGAGUACAAUUAGAGUUAAGUAAAUUCGCUGGAGAUGUUAGUGAAACAAAAGGCGUGCGUGGAUGAAAUUCGCGUUCAACGGAGAAGCGAUUGACGUGACCGUUAGCAAACUGGGUCCGGCGACGGUGAUAGACGUUAUUUCAUACUACCUCUCUUUUCGCAGUCGACACAGAGUUGCGGCUCGAAGUUUCUAGUAUCCACUAUGCAUGUACGUACAGACUAGGAAGAUCAAUGUUGCCAUCAACGUGUCAAUCAAUAUUAAUUUUUUGGAAAAACGUCAAUGUAUCGAAAAUGGUAACAGUUUCACGAUGAAAUGGAUAUUGUGAAACUUCUCCGUGGCGAGAAUCACCGUCGUCGGGCUCCAGGAUGCCGUCAUGCGGAAACGUGUCUUCGGGAUUUUCACGAAGCCACUGGACAUUACCUAACGUUCCCUUGUUCGCUGAUCUGCAUCCGAACCACCAGUACGCCGUCGAUCUAGGGAAU